UAUAAACAUCUGCAAGAAGACUGUAAUACAUAUAAUAUACAAUAAUGCAUACAACAUACUCAGGCUUGCUUCUUCAGUAGUUAGGCACCAACCUACGCUUUCACUAGAGUGAACAGACGUAUCACAGCUGCUUCAUAAGAUGAAGUUAUUGCCAUAUACAACAGAAGGAGACAGCUCGACUUCUCCAAACCAGCGAGAUAUCUCCUGGCUAAAGUUAAUCUCUCCUAAUGAGGAUCCUGUAUACACCAAGCAUGAAAGUCACCCACAACAGCCAGCCGAGGAUAUAGGGAAGGGAUUCAACAUCUGCUGCUCCAUGCCUCGGGGCAUGGAGAAAGUAAAAGGAAAUGGUAGAGCCCUGAGGAGACAGAAACCGCAUUUCACUGAAAAAUGGAGGGGGUGAAGACAGCAAGUCACCUCUGGUAAGUAAUGUUAUAUGCCUGAUGUGGGGACUUUAAUCAUUGCAUGAAAAAUGAAGUGUACACAUGUGUUUAAGCUUGGGCUGAUGCCUGAGGAUUCUCUUAUUUAAAAAACACAUACCCUGUGGAUGUGAAAUGCCUUCUAAAACCAAAUUAAGGGUCAGUGAGAUGCAUUCAGCACUGUAAAUCACUGCCUUCUCAAUGAAUACAGCCAUGUGAGCCAGUGUAAGUGUCAGAUUUGUGGCAUGUAGGCAUAAUUAUUAUGUUGUUUACCCAAGUAAUGCAUUUGGCUGUAAAACUGGGUUUCACACACAUUAGGCCCAAGUCUGUAAAGUGAGCCAAUGAUCAAAAAAGUGUGCAAAUAGGAACAAGUUCCCUGGAACAGUCAGGCUUACAAAAGUAGUCUAAGUCCCAGGUGUACUUUAGUUUCUUGUAACCCAGAGAGCUAGCCAGCUGCCAUCUACAGUAAGUUACUUGAGGGAGAUGAACAGACACAGUCUGCUGUUUCUCCCCCAUCACAUGUUUGGGCCAUUUGCAGCUGGAUUAUGUGAACCCUCUGUACACUGCCCUGUUUGUGGGCAAUUUCACCACAUUUCCCCCUCUACGUUCCCUUGCAAAGACCUGCCUCAGAUGAGACAUGAGGGGAGAGAAGUCUAUCAGCAGUAGAGUUUUGGGGGUCUCAUGCAGGCAUACAAGGCUCUUCAGUAGGACUGCCCAUGAAUUACAAUCACGAUGAGCCAGAUUUUCCCUAGUCCGUCUGCAGAUGCACAAGAGGAAGAGGGCACAAGUAGACCACAUUCUUCUUUGUGCCUGACACAAGGACAAGGGAAAACUUGCAAUGCCUGCACUUGGGAUUACAGGGACUACUCCAUCCAAGCACUCCCAGCGGACACAAACUUCCCUGUAGGAGUCAGGCAGGAAGGCACCCUUCUCCCACAGCAGCCCUUCGCACAUGCUGCACCAUCUAGAGAGGAAGCAGCGUGAGCACACAGCCUGAGAAGGCGUCAGGCGGGGAAUUCAGCUGGCCUGAAAGGAUCCCCACCUUUGGUACUUAGGGAGGCAGUACAUGUUAAAGGUGGAUUCCAGCCACUCCCAGAAAAUCAUCUGGCCAUCACCGGUAAACUGGGGUAUCUAUGCCCCCUCCAACAUGUAGUAUGUCAUAGUCAUUGGGACACAGCAGGAUGCCAGGACAAGGACAGUGUUGUGAGGGGUUGGCUGAGAGUUUCUCAAAGAUGUCCCUGACCUUCCAGCUACCUGUACCUCAAACACUGACCUCAGGGGUCCCUGCCUAACCUCCCCAAAUCCUGUUCCUGACACCAGCUGUCAGAUGGGAGAUUCCCUGAGUUGAGGAAGGGGUCCCAAGUCCUAGCCACAUGCCUCUUCACAAACACCAACCCUCUCUCUUAGGGGUCAGAGUUAACCCUGUAACAAAUACCACACUUAAAACACUUAAUCUAACCCAGGCAAAGUCAGGCGUAAACUCAGGGGAGGAUUCCUAGAAGGAGUUGCACAGAGUUCCUUGCCCCGGUACAGCAUACAGUCCCCCCUACUGACCCCCCCCCCACACCCCUUGAUUAGCUAUGCACAUAGACUCUCCACCCCACAUCAGUUCAAACCCCCCUGGGUCAGUCUAACCUGUUCCUGUAUUCUGACACUGGUAUGCUCUGUGAGCUCAGAAUGGUGGGUCCAGCUGUGUGGGCUCUGCUGUCCUGUCAGCUCCAAACUGUGCAACUGCGGGGGUCCCCUUUGCUAUCACCAGUGCAGCAGUGAGUUCUCCUUUCAACAGCUCCCAGGUCAAAUUCAGCAUCUUUGCAUUUUGGUGUCUCUCUGCCCAGUGUGGCAUCUGUGAGCUGGUCCUGCUGUAGCAGUUCAGGCCCUUUGUUCCCCUUCAAACUUCCUGCACUUACAGGCUAGUCCCUCUGUCCCAUCACCCUCCUCCUCCCCAUCUGCUCAUUGACUGCUCAACUGGCUGUAGCCAGUUCUGUGUCCUUGUUCUGGAAUGGCACUUCCCCCAUCAGCCAAUCAAGUUUUGUUGUUGAUGGGGCGGCGGGGGGGAGGGGGCAGGAGAGUUCUACCCACUCCCACAGAAGGAUUGUGCCUCCAAGACAAUCCUUCCCAUGCUACCUCUAGAACUGUGAAGUUCUGAAUCACCUAUUAGCCAGGACUGUGACUAAAUGCUACAGCUAUCCCCAAGUAAUGAAGCAGUGCUCCAAUACCAUAGUGAUGAGAAAAGUAUAAGCUCCUAGAUAAAUAGAAGUGAACACUUCCAAAUUUUGCCUAACUCGAACUUUACUACGUUACAAGCACAAUGUAAUAUGUUUUCUACAUGGUUUGUGCCACGUAUAAUAUCAUGGUCAGUAUGUAGGAAACUCUGUCACAUCUCAAAGUUCUGAGUGACUUGUUCCCUUUAAGGUUUUAGGAUCUGGAGCAAAAGUAGGCAAGAAGUCUAUAUUGUUGCUCAGACAGCUCCUCAUCAUGGCUUUCUGUUUUGUAUACUGGUAUCAGCCAAUCAGUGGGCUGUGGGGGGUUGCCACUCAGGCUCUGUUGGGUGGUACUUCCUGCAAGCCUAGCUUUACAGUGUCCUCCCAGGAAUGCCUUGCCUAAGGCUCUAGUGGUAAUGAUGUGGUGGUCUCAGAGACUCUGAAGAACCCCCUGUGGUUGCAAAUUUUAGCCUUGCAGGUUCUUAUGUUCCCACUUGGUAUCAACUAUGGGGGUUACCCUCUUACUCUACUGUGCUUAAUUGCCAUGAAGCAGUCAUGAUGAUAGGAAUGAUAUUGCAGGGCUUGUCGUAAUCAGUUAAGUCAUGUGAAAAACUAGAAGGGGCCACAGCUGAAAGCAGGUUCCUCAAUGGAUCUGCCAAUCAGAGAGAUGAAGGAAGGUUUGCAAUUCUGAAAAAUGAAUUAGGCUAAAACCUGCAGUUGGGUACUGCAUGAGUGCCCUUCAGGAGAAAGCUUUUCAGAUGGUAGUCAUUGCAAGAGGAGGCAAGAGCUUCAGAUCCAAUGGAGAAAGGAAAAGUAUCCUCCAAGAGUCAGCUGCAGCAGAUAUGAAAGGUAUAGUCAGAAGGUUCCUUCCCAACCUACCUCCAGGAAUAUGUCGUAAGUUGAUUUUCUCUAUACAGACAAGUUAUUCCAGCCCUAGGGAGCUAGGAAUUCCAGGAGCUACAUGAAGAAGAAGAAGAAGAAGAAGAAGAAGAAGCACUAGUUCCAAUAUUAAGAAUUGUUGGGGAGCUUAUUUGCAUGUCCCCUCUUCCCCUGUCCAAAACAGGUUUGUGUCAUGCAGCUGGGAGCUUUUGGUGUGAUUUUUCCACUUUGGUCUUCUGUGGCUGGCCAGUCAUGGGUUGGUCAGCCUGCCAUGGAAUCAGCAUCCAAGAGUUUCCAGAGUUAGUACAGCCCACAAGGCCAAGGGUGUUUACAGAAGGGUCAGUAUGCAAAUAUACUGGUGGCUACUGUUUAAACAAAUUAAAAUGAUUGCAUCUCCUAGGAAGAUAAAGGACCAAAUUCAUCCGUGGUAUAAAUCCACCAAAGUUAAUGGAUGAAUUUGGCCCCCAAACUAUAAUUAUUUUAAAAAGUUAAUCUAGUCUGUACAUAUAACCAGAGUGCCACUGUGGCAGCUGCUUCCUCUGCUGCUACCCCAGAGCACAUGGAGAGGCUAAACACAAGAGUAGCUCUGUGGCUGCAAGAAAUGUUCAGAUAUUAGAGUUUGUUUCUUCUUUAAAAAAGAAAGAAAAACUAGGAAAUUCCAUUAAAAAAGCUGCCUGAAGAGAGUAUUGACCUUGCUUGUAUAAACACUAAAAAGUAAAGAAUAGCAAGGUUGGGGUUGUGCAUGCAACCUUAACUCUGCCCCAUGUUUGAAACAUUGUACAAUCUUAAGUUACAUAACUGCAUAGGAUUUCAAAUAAUGCAGUAUAGUAUACUUUUUUCCCUGGAAGACCUGGUGUAAGAUGGGCAGCAAUGGAUAUUGUAUGGCAUGGCUUGAAGCACCUCCCUGUGGUAUGCCUGUGGACUCCAAUUUGCUUAUCACUGCUGGGCCAGCCAGGGCAGGAUUUAGUCCCUACAUUAUUAAAAUGGAUGUUUAUUUUAUUCUUUAGAUGUUCAAAUGAUGUGCCUGCUUUAGCUCAUUUAGAGAGAAAUUCACUUUUAAUCAGUAUCACAGCUAACUCAGACAGAGCUUACAAAGGAUUUCUGUUUAAUGUCUGGGUGAAUUUUGUUGCCAUGUCACCCAGAAAAUACUUUGGAAGAUGAUAUCUUUGCACAGCUGACAAGCUAUAAAUUCUCCCAUGCAGCCCUAUAACUGUAUCAUCUUCCUACAAGUUAAUCAUAAAACCCCCACAGAUUUAUUUCACAUAUAAAAGCUUCAGAGAUUUUUGUAUUUAAUUGGGUGUUGACUAUAUAUAUAAUAUAAAUUAACCUUUUAUGAAUGAAGUCUAAUGGUUCAGUUAAAAA